GACGAACGCUGGCGGCGUGCUUAACACAUGCAAGUCGAACGAUGAAGCCUUAGCUUGCUUUGGUGGAUUAGUGGCGAACGGGUGAGUAACACGUGAGCAACGUGCCCAGGACUCUGGAAUAACCGCGGGAAACCGUGGCUAAUACCGGAUAGGUGCCGAGGCCGCAUGGUCUUCGGUUGGAAAGUUUUUGCGGUUCUGGAUCGGCUCACGGCCUAUCAGCUUGUUGGUGGGGUAAUGGCCUACCAAGGCGACGACGGGUAGCCGGCCUGAGAGGGUGACCGGCCACACUGGGACUGAGACACGGCCCAGACUCCUACGGGAGGCAGCAGUGGGGAAUAUUGCACAAUGGGCGCAAGCCUGAUGCAGCAACGCCGCGUGGGGAUGACGGCCUUCGGGUUGUAAACCUCUUUUAGUAGGGAAGAAGCGCAAGUGACGGUACCUGCAGAAAAAGCACCGGCUAACUACGUG
rnacentral:rRNA from 1 species